GGGUUAAGUCCCGUAACGAGCGCAACCCUUGUCCUAGUUACCAGCACGUUAUGGUGGGCGACUCUAAGGAGACUGCCGGUGACAAACCGGAGGAAGGUGGGGAUGACGUCAAGUCAUCAUGGCCCUUACGGCCUGGGCUACACACGUGCUACAAUGGUCGGUACAAAGGGUUGCCAAGCCGCGAGGUGGAGCUAAUCCCAUAAAACCGAUCGUAGUCCGGAUCGCAGUCUGCAACUCGACUGCGUGAAGUCGGAAUCGCUAGUAAUCGUGAAUCAGAAUGUCACGGUGAAUACGUUCCCGGGCCUU
rnacentral:rRNA from 1 species